rnacentral:tRNA from 1 species
GGGAGAUAGCUCAGUGGUAAAGCACUUGCCUAGCAUGCAUGUGGCCCUGGGUUCAAUCCCCAUCACCACA